rnacentral:rRNA from 1 species
AUUGAACGCUGGCGGCAGGCCUAACACAUGCAAGUCGAGCGGAUGAAGGGAGCUUGCUCCUGGAUUCAGCGGCGGACGGGUGAGUAAUGCCUAGGAAUCUGCCUGGUAGUGGGGGAUAACGUCCGGAAACGGGCGCUAAUACCGCAUACGUCCUGAGGGAGAAAGUGGGGGAUCUUCGGACCUCACGCUAUCAGAUGAGCCUAGGUCGGAUUAGCUAGUUGGUGGGGUAAAGGCCUACCAAGGCGACGAUCCGUAACUGGUCUGAGAGGAUGAUCAGUCACACGGGAACUGAGACACGGUCCAGACUCCUACGGGAGGCAGCAGUGGGGAAUAUUGGACAAUGGGCGAAAGCCUGAUCCAGCCAUGCCGCGUGUGUGAAGAAGGUCUUCGGACUGUAAAGCACUUUAAGUUGGGAGGAAGGGCAGUAAGUUAAUACCUUGCUGUUUUGACGUUACCAACAGAAUAAGCACCGGCUAACUUCGUG